rnacentral:tRNA from 1 species
GGAUUGGUGGCCAAAUAGCUACCGCUUCUGCUUCAUAAGCAGAAGGUCAUGGGUUCAAUCCCAGGCCCGUCCC